rnacentral:lncRNA from 1 species
CUUGAUAAUAAUUUAAACAUUACAGAGUCAUAGGGGCUGGAAGGGACCUCAAGAGAUCGAGCCCAACCCCCCUUGCAACUACUCUACAAUAGGUGGCACAGGUAGGCGUCCAGCUGGGUCUUGAAUAUCUCCAUAGAAGGAGACUCCACCACCUCUCUGGGUAACCUCUUCCAGUGCUCUGUCACCAUUACCAUAAAGAAAAGUUUAAAAAGUUCAUAUGAAAUUGUAAAGUUGUAAAAAAGUUGCCAAGAAAUUGCAGUUGUUAAAGAUGAAGUCUGAUUCUCUGCUCAUCUUCCUAGCAUGAAAUGCCAACACUUACCAAUGACUUCUCAUUGUCACUGUAGUAGAGAACCUGUGGGUGUAUUUUGGUGCUGUAAACCCACUGGAUCAAACAAGGUGCCAGUGGGGACAAAGCAGCGAUACACACGGGAGCUGGAUGGAAACUUGCAGACAGUAUGGAUGUCAGUGGAAAAGGAGUAGGAGAAGAUGGUGUUGGUCCAAGGAAGAAGCAGAGGUUAAAAGCUCAGUUCCACAAUCCCUGGGGAAAUUCAGGAAGGAGUGGGAGGAUCCUACUGAAACCAGUCCAGGAGGUUGGCAAGGAUAACAAAUUUCAUCUGGAAAGAAAAAGGGAAUGUUUGAAUGGGGGAGGUAGCCUUGUUGUGCCAAGGAAAUGGAGAUUUUUCAGGUACACAACAACACAAGCAAAUUUAAAUCAGGCCCCUCUGUAUGGCAAGGAAGUCAUUUCCAUCUUUCAAUUCAGCAUCCUUUCACCAUCAGCACUGCUUUGGGUUCGUGUUGACAGCCGCCAUGCUUUGGGAUCGUGUUUGCAGCAAAGACUUUGUUGCUCCACUGCAGCAUUGACCUGUGGGCAGAUCUGUGCGUCCUGUCCUGCUGGGAAAUAACGAGGGCUGUGGCCAUUCUAAAAUCAGGUAGGAAAUUUGUUCCUCUUUCUUCGUCCUGUUGUGGCAUAGCUCUCUGAUGGUGCCCGGUCUGUUUGAAGUGCAAGGUCAGCUCAGCUGUUUGGAAAACAAAAUUGAAAUCUUAAAUAAAACCCGAAUGGAUUACCUGGUUCUACUUCACUUUGUUUCAGCGUCGUGUGCAGAAAUGAGUGGGGUACUUGAAGG